UAAUAAGUCAAUCUUUAUUUGGUAUCAAUCUUUAUCUACAGUGGUGGACAUGUAGAAUAGCACAGCUAUUACACAAAAUCAUGUUUGCAGGAAGAAAUUAAUAAGUCAAUCAAGUAUCUGGAACAAAUCUCUGGUAGUUUUCGUUUUCCAUUUCUCAUCAUUUUUCCCAUCUAAGCCCCUAUGCUAUUCUUUGGCUCAAGUUAAACUUUUAAGUCGAUACAGGCAUGAACAUAGAGUCAGCUGAGUUGAGCAUGAGUGACUUUAUGCAGGUGAGGAAUCUUCUUUUCUCAUGCAUUUUCUAGUAACCCACAGUAUGCAGGAAGCAAAUAAUUCAAGAUUUUGACCAAGGAUUUCCCAUUUCUUGGUAGAUUCAUUCACCUUAAAUUCAAAAUAAAACACAAUAUGUGUGUAACAUGUGUAUUGGAAAGAAAGUGGAAAUUAAGAAUUUGGGUAAAUUUCCUUUUCACAAUUUAGUUUCCUACCUACUUUCAUUUAGGUUAUAAUUAUUAUUCGUUUGUGUUUAGCUUCAGUUUGGGGAAGAUCUUACCAAAUUAUAGGGAUCCAAAUAAGAUUCUAAUUUUAAGUCUAAUAAAGUAUAGUUAUAUUAUAAAACUUACAGAAAUGUACAAAGUUGGGAUUUUGUGUCCCUGAAAAUUUGAAACAAGGGAGAAGAACACAUCCAGACUUUGUUGUA